rnacentral:rRNA from 1 species
GGAGAGUUCGAUCCUGGCUCAGGAUGAAUGCUAGUUGCAUGCUUAACACAUGUAAGUCGAACGAGAAGUGGUGUUUCCAGUGGCGGACGGGUGAGUAACACGUAAGAACCUACCCUUGGGAAGGGAACAAUAGCUGGAAACGGCUGUUAAUAGCCCGUAGGCUGAGGAGCAAAAGAAGGAAUUCGCUCGAGGAGGGGCUUGCGUCUGAUUAGCUAGUUAGUGAGGCAAUAACUUACCAAGGCAAUGAUCAGUAGCUGGUCCGAGAGGAUGAUCAGCCACACUGGGACUGAGACACGGCCUAGACUCCUAUGGGAGGUAGUAGUGGAGAAUUUUCUACAAUGGGUGAAAGCUUGACGGAGCAAUGCCACAUAAAGGUAGAAGGCCCACGGGUCGUGAACUUCUUUUCCCGAAGAAGAAGAAUUGACGAUACUAGGCACUGUGCAUAUCGACCCAUGAAGUGUUGUAGCUAACUCGUUAAGUAUCCCACUUGGGGAGUACGUUCCCACUAAUGAAACUCAAAGGAAUUGACGGGGCUCGCACAAGCGGUGGAGCAUGUGGUUUAAUUGAUGCAAAGUGAAGAACCUUACCAUGGCUUGACAUACCGCAAAUCCUCUUGAAAGAGACGGGUGCCUUCGGGAAUGCGGACACAAGUGGUGCAUGGCUAUCGUCAGCUCAUGCCGUAAGGUGUUGGGUUAAGUCCCACAACGAACGUAACCCUCGUGUUUAGUUUCCAUCGUUGAGUUUGGAACCCUGAACAAACUGCCGAUGAUAAGCCCGAGGAAGGUGAGGAUGAUGUCAAGUCAUCAUGUCCCUUAUGCCCUAGGCGACAUACGUGCUACAAUGGUCGGGACAAAGGGUCGUGAUCCUACGAGAUUAAGUUAACCCCAAAAACCCGUCCUCAAUUCGGAUUGCAGGCUGCAACUCGCCUGCAUGAAGUCGAAAUCACUAGUAAUCGCCAGUCAUCCAUACAGUGGUGAAUUCAUUCCCAGGCCUUGUACACACUGCCCGUCACACUAUGGGAGUUGGCCAUGCCCAAAGUCGCUACCUUAACCGUAAGGAGGGGGAUGCCGAAGGUAGGGCUAGUGACUGGAGUAAAGUCGUAACAAGGUAGUCGUAUCAGAAGAUACGAGUG